rnacentral:lncRNA from 1 species
AAGCAUCAUCCAUUACCGUGGAAAAUAUGACAAUCGACCAGACGCCGCCGGAGUAGUACACGCAGGCAGCUCCUGCCGGCCGACGAUUGACUUUAGCAUGCAGCGGACAAGAACGAUGACGAGAACGGAACAGAGUGAUGAGGUGGCGAGGAGCAAACAAAACCAAUGACCACAUCUAUCUAUCUGCACACUAGCCGGCCGUCUGCCCGCCGCCGGCCGAUCACCUCUCAAAACUGCGAUUUCUGGUUCACGCCUCCACGAUGAAAUCAUCCCAUCAUUGUUGCAACGCGGCGCCGUCUUCCACCACUGAUCCGUCGUCCCUAAUCUAGGGGAACAGAGAAGACCAAUUCAAGACGGUUGUUAGGAGGUUGCAACUGUACUACUACUACAAACAGGAGUAUCGGCAUGGAGGGGAAAUCAGGGAUGAUGCGAUGGCGUUACCUGAUGUGGUUGCAGGAGGAUGAGCGAGGUGGGCACGCACGGCGGCGGGGCCUCGAAGAACGACAGAGGGAAGUGCUUGUAGACGACCCCGACGUCGAAGUAGAUGACGCCGGAGGAGGGCACGUCAACGCGGAUGCUGCGCACGGCGAACCAGAGGAAGAGGUCCUGCGCGUCGACACCCGAGAGCUCCGCGAUCCGGCCGUACGUGAUCUGCCCGGCGACGGUCACGUUGUACCGCAGGCCAACCUCGGUGCGCGCCGUGCAGGGGGACUCCA